AGUGAACGCUGGCGGUAGGCCUAACACAUGCAAGUCGAACGGCAGCACAUUAAGAGUUUGCCAUUUCGGGGGGCGGGUGGCGGAUGGGUGAGGAAUACAUAGGAAUCCUUUUUUUUGUGGGGGACAAAGGGAGGCAAAUUAUACUAACACCUCACACCAUCAACCGGUGGAAGCAAGGGAGAUUCGUACCUUUCCCGCAUUCAAGGACCGAUGUCGGAUUAGCUAGUUGGCGGGGUAAAGGCCCACCAAGGCGACGAUCCGUAGCUGGUCUGAGAGGAUGAUCAGCCACACUGGAACUGAGACACAGUCCAGACUCCUACGGGAGGCAGCAGUGGGGAAUAUUGGACAAUGGGCGCAAGCCUGAUCCAGCCAUACCGCGUGGGUGAAGAAGGCCUUCGGGUUGUAAAGCCCUUUUGUUGGGAAAGAAAAGCAGCAGGUUAAUACCCCGCUGUUCUGACGGUACCCAAAGAAUAAGCACCGGCUAACUUCGUG
rnacentral:rRNA from 1 species